GAUGAACGCUAGCUACAGGCUUAACACAUGCAAGUCGAGGGGCAGCAUGACGAUAGCUUGCUAUUGUUGAUGGCGACCGGCGCACGGGUGAGUAACGCGUAUCCAACCUGCCCUUGUCCAUCGGAUAACCCGUCGAAAGGCGGCCUAACACGAUAUGCAGUUCUCGGCAGGCAUCUAACGAGAACGAAAUGUGAAGGAGAAGGAUGGGGAUGCGUCUGAUUAGCUUGUUGGCGGGGUAACGGCCCACCAAGGCGACGAUCAGUAGGGGUUCUGAGUGGAAGGUCCCCCACAUUGGAACUGAGACACGGUCCAAACUCCGACGGGAGGCAGCAGUGAGGAAUAUUGGUCAAUGGACGGAAGUCUGAACCAGCCAAGUAGCGUGCAGGAUGACGGCCCUAUGGGUUGUAAACUGCUUUUAUACGGGGAUAAAGUGAGGGACGUGUCCCUUAUUGCAGGUACCGUAUGAAUAAGGACCGGCUAAUUCCGUGCCAGCAGCCGCCGUAACAC
rnacentral:rRNA from 1 species